AAUUUCCACGUUUUUUAUAAUUUAAUGGAAAAAUUUGUUAUAAUGGAUAUGACUUACUAUGAUGUAUUUUGCGUUACUUGUCAUAGAAAAUUUAGUCUAUUAUGACAUACUUUCAGUUAUUUGUCAUAAUAUAUCUUGUCACUAUGACUUAGUUCUGUUUAACUGUCAUAAUAUCAUUGCCUUCUCUAAUGUAUUUCUCUUCACCUAUCAUAAUAUAUCUAGUAUUUUAUGACAGAUAUUCUAUCAUUUGUCAUAGUAAGUGUGGUUUACAUUGAACUUACUAUGACAAAUAAUGUCAUUUACGUCAUAGAAAGAUUGUUAUCUUUUUAAGUUUUUCUUUGUUUUACCAUCCUAUCAUUCAAUUUACUUGAAAAUCAACAAAUUCAACAAAACAAAUAAUCUAUGAAAAUCAUUUUAUACAUUAAAUUGUUCAAUAAUACUUAAAACAUUACUUGUACAUAAACCUAAAUAUACAAUAAAAAAAAGGCUUAAUACCUCAAUUGGUCCUCUAAUUUGUCAACUAAUCUCAUUUUGGUCCUCUAUUUUGCAACAGUCUCAAUUUAGUCACAAAUUUUGGAAAUAUGAACACAUUACAUCCCAUCCGUUAAGUGUUAGCAAACGAUGUUAAGUAUUGUCCACGUGUUGGACACGUGUUAGACUCGUAACCACCCACACGCUGAAUUCCUCACCUUUCUGACCGAUUCAUCAACCACCAAUCGAUCCCUUUGCAACCCAUCCUCACGGCCCAUUCAUCCUCUUCAUCCUCUUCAAUCAUUUCCCUGCAAAAGAGGCCUAACACAUCAACCAUAUUUCACCCCUCUUUCAAUCAUCAAAAAUCAAAAGGAAUCACUCAAAAUUUCCUCACUUCCAACACGGCCAAUUCCCUUAUCACAUCAUUCACCCAAUAAUUCACAACACUCCUAACACAAACCAUCCCUGUUUCCUCACCAACAUCACCAGCACCAACAUACAAAUACCACAAGUCAAAAAUAAUAAAACCAGUUCAGUUUUUAAUUUCCAAAGUGUUUCACAAUCAGAUUCAGCAGCAAAAUCCCAUCCUCCCAUCAAUUUGAAGUUCAAAAAUUUUAAAAUUCUCUUCUCUACUCGGUCCAGCACUAGAGAGAAACAUGGAAACAUAAAACUAGGCACUAGAUUCAAACAGGGAAACAGUGGAAAAAGGUCUGAGGUGUGCCCUCAACAUUGGGCCAGCACGGGCAGAGAAAGAGGGUGUGGUCGUUGCUGCUUGCGGAGGCUGGCCGAAAGGUGGCGACGACGCCGGUGGUACCAGGGAUGACCGGAUCGACGCAGGGUUUGUCCGAGCGAGCAGUGGCAGCGAUUUCUAGCUUCCCUAACGGCGUGGAUUUCGCGGGAAGAAGGGGAAAAGGGAUGAGGAACGAAUUAAGAUUGUGGUCCACCAUUCUCAUUCCAACACGUGUCCAACACGUGGACAAUACUUAACGCCGUUUGCUAACACUUAAUGGAUGGGAUGUAAUGUGUUCAUAUUUCCAAAAUUUGUGACUAAAUUGAGACUGUUGCAAAAUAGAGGACCAAAAUGAGAUUAGUUGACAAAUUAGAGGACCAAUUGAGGUAUUAAGCCUAAAAAAAAUUGUCUAAAAGAUUGUAAAAUGAC
rnacentral:lncRNA from 1 species